rnacentral:lncRNA from 1 species
ACUUCCUGUGAGGGAAAGAACAGGUUUAGAGGUGGCAUCAUACUGAAAACAUGUUUUUGUGUUUUACAAUACAUUCCCUCAGUGUGCCACUGCCUGGUUAUGGUAACGUCAGCUCUUUAACUGGCUGAGCUGAGUGCAUAAUGUGUGCUACUGUUCUGACCUGAUGUGUGGCCCAGGCCUGCCGUAAACCUACACCAGGGAUAUGACUUCAUGUGUGCUUCUACUGGUAAUCAUGUACUCUAUUCUAUCUUGACAUUCCAGCUCUGUGUGGUAAGUAGGACAUAUACUGACACCAUGGUUUCCUGUAAGGAUGGUGUCAUGACAUAAAAGGCAAACCAAUGAGGAUAACAGGAAAACACUUCAUUUAUCCGUGCUCUUACAGCAUGGAGGGGUGGAGGCAACAUCCACAUGUCUCUACCAGGGAUCUUUCUCAUAGGUUUACUAUUGGCUGGGUGGAGAUCAUUUUCCAGCUGAAGUAGCCUACAGCAGGUGAGUGAAUGGCCUAUUGAAUUGUUCUGUGUCAGGUGUCAGACAUACAUUCUGUGUUAGGUGUCAGACAUACGUUCUGUGUUAGGUGUCAGACAUACGUUCUGUGUUAGGUGUCAGACAUACGUUCUGUGUCAGGUGUCAGACAUAUGUUCUGUGUUAGGUGUCAGACAUACGUUCUGUGUCAGACAUACGUUCUGUGUUAGGUGUCAGACAUACGUUCUGUGUUAGGUGUCAGACAUACGUUCAGUGUCAGGUGUCAGACAUACGUUCUGUGUCAGACAUACGUUCUGUGUUAGGUGUCAGACAUACGUUCUGUGUCAGACAUACGUUCUGUGUCAGGUGUCAGACAUACGUUCUGUGUCAGGUGUCAGAUAUACGUUCUGUGUCAGGUGUCAGACAUACGUUCUGUGUCAGACAUACGUUCUGUGUUAGGUGUCAGACAUACGUUCUGUGUCAGGUGUCAGACAUACGUUCAGUGUCAGGUGUCAGACAUACGUUCUGUGUCAGGUGUCAGACAUACGUUCUGUGUUAGGUGUCAGACAUACGUUCUGUGUCAGACAUACGUUCUGUGUCAGGUGUCAGACAUACGUUCUGUGUCAGACACGUUCUGUGUCAGGUGUCAGACAUACGUUCUGUGUCAGGUGUCAGACAUACGUUCUGUGUCAGGUGUCAGACAUACGUUCUGUGUCAGGUGUCAGACAUACGUUCUGUGUCAGGUGUCAGACAUACGUUCUGUGUCAGGUGUCAGACAUACGUUCUGUGUUAGGUGUCAGACAUACGUUCUGUGUCAGACAUGCGUUCUGUGUCAGGUGUCAGACAUACGUUCUGUGUCAGGUGUCAGACAUACGUUCUGUGUUAGGUGUCAGACAUACGUUCUGUGUCAGACAUACGUUCUGUGUCAGGUGUCAGACAUACGUUCUGUGUCAGACACGUUCUGUGUCAGGUGUCAGACAUACGUUCUGUGUCAGGUGUCAGACAUACGUUCUGUGUCAGGUGUCAGACAUACGUUCUGUGUCAGGUGUCAGACAUACGUUCUGUGUCAGGUGUCAGACAUACGUUCUGUGUCAGGUGUCAGACAUACGUUCUGUGUUAGGUGUCAGACAUACGUUCUGUGUCAGACAUGCGUUCUGUGUCAGGUGUCAGACAUACGUUCUGUGUCAGGUGUCAGACAUACGUUCUGUGUUAGGUGUCAGACAUACGUUCUGUGUCAGACAUACGUUUUGUGUCAGGUGUCAGACAUACGUUCUGUGUCAGACAUACGUUCUGUGUUAGGUGUCAGACAUACAUUCUGUGUCAGACAUACGUUCUGUGUCAGACAUACGUUCUGUGUUAGGUGUCAGACAUACAUUCUGUGUCAGACAUACGUUCUGUGUCAG